AGCCCUAAGUGGGUGGUAAACUCCAUCUAAGGCUAAAUAUAACCACGAGACCGAUAGCGAACAAGUACCGUGAGGGAAAGUUGAAAAGCACUUUGAAGAGAGAGUUCAAGAGUACGUGAAACCGUUUAGGGGUAAACCUGAGAAACCCGAAAGGUCGAAGGGAGAAAUUCAUUCGCGUUUCGCGAUCGGCGUCGAACGUUCGAUUGACGGAGGAUGUUCGCGCAUCCGUCCGCUGUUUUCGUUCGACGAUCCGGCAACGAACGCGUGCACUUUUCUCCUGGUAGGACGUCGCGAUCCGUUGAGUGUCGGUCUACGGCUCGCGGUGGAGACCGCACGCGUAUACGAUUUACGUCGUAUUCGCGCGUGCGGACCCGCUUGUUUACCCGGCCGACUCGCUCGACGGUAUUCUAACGGUUUAAGGCCGCACACACACACUUGCGUGCGUUCGACUCUCGGCAAGCGCGUCAGAUGUUCGUCGGUGAUCGGACCUAGUGCCGAUUCUGACCUCUGAUGACUGUUGGCCGUGAAGUUUUCUCGAACAGACCUAAACCGAUUUGCGACGCUAUAGCUUUGGGUAAUUUCAG
rnacentral:rRNA from 1 species